UGAAGGCGACGGCAUCGGAGUCGACAGUCGGAUGUUGUGCAGCCUCAGAAGGCCGGAAUUUGCGAGGGAGGGAAAGUCGCCGGCGAAUGCUGUCGUGGGAGGUGCAGAUUGCAGAGUUCUUUGAUUCUUUGUAGUGUUCUUGACCUUUGGAUAGGAUUGGCUUCAGUAUUAGUGACUGGUCGACAUCUCUGGAGAGUGUCGGACUGAGUCGGAGUCAAUUAUGCACGAAUUGGAUGCAGAAUUGGACUCGGCGCACUCAAAUAGGCAAA
rnacentral:lncRNA from 1 species